rnacentral:rRNA from 1 species
GUUGUAAAGCUCUUUCGGCAGGAACGAAACGGUUACGGAUAAUACCCGUGACUACUGACGGUACCUGAAGAAGAAGCACCGGCUAACUACGUGCCAGCAGCCGCGGUAAUACGUAGGGUGCGAGCGUUAAUCGGAUUUACUGGGCGUAAAGCAUGCGCAGGCGGCGGUUCAAGUCAGGUGUGAAAUCCCCGAGCUUAACUUGGGAAUUGCGCUUGAAACUAGAUCGCUAGAGUACGGCAGAGGGGGGUAGAAUUCCACGUGUAGCAGUGAAAUGCGUAGAGAUGUGGAGGAACACCGAUGGCGAAGGCAGCCCCCUGGGCCUGUACUGACGCUCAUGCAUGAAAGCGUGGGGAGCAAACAGGAUUAGAUACCCUGGUAGUCCACGCCCUAAACUAUGUCAACUAGUUGUUGGAAGAGUCAAAUCUUUCAGUAACGCAGCUAACGCGCGAAGUUGACCGCCUGGGGAGUACGGUCGCAAGAUUAAAACUCAAAGGAAUUGACGGGGACCCGCACAAGCGGUGGAUGAUGUGGAUUAAUUCGAUGCAACGCGAAAACCUUACCUACCCUUGACAUG